GACAGAGGGGGCAAGCGUUGCUCGGAAUCACUGGGCGUAAAGGGCGCGUAGGUGGUUCUGUAUGUCUACCGUGAAAGCGUACGGCUCAACCGUAUUUUGUCGGUGGAAACUGCAGGACUUGAGGCUGGGAGGGGCUGGUGGAAUUCCCUGUGUAGCGGUGAAAUGCGUAGAGAUGGGGGAGAACACUCGUGGCGAAGGCGGCCAGCUAGACCAGUUCUGACACUGAGGCGCGACAGCGUGGGGAGCAAACAGG
rnacentral:rRNA from 1 species